UACGUAGGGUGCGAGCGUUAAUCGGAAUUACUGGGCGUAAAGCGUGCGCAGGCGGUUUUGUAAGUCAGGUGUGAAAUCCCCGGGCUUAACCUGGGAAUGGCAUUUGGGACUGCAAGGCUUGAGUGCGGCAGAGGAGACUGGAAUUCCUGGUGUAGCAGUGAAAUGCGUAGAUAUCAGGAGGAACACCGAUGGCGAAGGCAGCCCCCUGGGCUAGCACUGACGCUCAGGCACGAAAGCGUGGGGAGCAAACAGG
rnacentral:rRNA from 1 species